rnacentral:rRNA from 1 species
GACGAACCGUGCGAACGUUGUUCGGAUUCACUGGGCUUAAAGGGCGCGUAGGCGGGUGACCAAGUCCGGGGUGAAAUCUUCCGGCCUAACCGGAAAAGUGCCUUGGAUACUGGUCGCCUGGAGGGAGGUAGGGGCACGCGGAACUUCCGGUGGAGCGGUGAAAUGCGUAGAUAUCGUAAGGAAGACCAGUGGCGAAGGCGGGUCUCUGGACAGUUCCUGACGCUGAGGCACGAAGGUCAGGGGAGCAAACGGG